CCCUCUGUCGCCGCGGCUCUCGUCCGGGACACGGCUUUCUGGAGUAGAGCCCUGGAGGUGAUAAAUGUGAUGCUUCUAUAAUACAUUUGGAUGUUGUCAGCUAAGUUCACUUAGGAACUAAGGGGUUCCUCCAAAUGUUGGCUGAAAUUUGUCCUUGCACAUCCCAAGGCUCGUCUGCAAAGUCUACAAUUCAUAAUGGAGCUACUGUACUGGCUAUUGGAAAGAGGAGAUUCUGAAGAUAAGGAGGAUGCCACUGGAAAUGUUGAAAUGAAAAAUAUUCAGCCGUCGGUCUUUGAAAUUUCCUGUGAUGUGUUUCAAUCUAGAUGCAAAGAACAUGGAAAAAUCAAAGUGCUCGAGUGGUUUAAAUACGUUUUGGAUGUUCCUGUUUAUAGACUAUAAUACUUUUCCAAUUAAAAUCCUCAGUUGUCAUGCAGAAGAAGGUUAAGCUCUACUUGAUUGCCAGUUUUACUGAAAAUGCUUAGUAUUUUACAGUAUCACCAAAUAUAUUUUGUUUAGCCAAGGUAUAGGAAAAAUAAAAUAAAUUGUAUAGGUUGACUUUUUUCUAAAAUGUCUUUAUUGGAUAGAAUGAAUGUUUAUACCUGAAAAAAGAUUCAAAAAAA
rnacentral:lncRNA from 1 species